CGCAAGCCUGAUGCAGCCAUGCCGCGUGUAUGAAGUAAGGCCUUCGGGUUGUAAAGUACUUUCAGCAGUGAGGAAGGUGGGUAUGUUAAUAGCAUAUUCAUUUGACGUUUAGCUGCAGAAGAAGCACCGGCUAACUCCGUGCCCAGCAGCCGCGGUAAUACGGAGGGUGCGAGCGUUAAUCGGAAUUACUGGGCGUAAAGCGCAUGCAGGUGGUUUGUUAAGUCAGAUGUGAAAGCCCGGGGCUCAACCUCGGAAUUGCAUUUGAAACUGGCAAACUAGAGUACUGUAGAGGGGGUAGAAUUUCAGGUGUAGCGGUGAAAUGCGUAGAGAUCUGAAGGAAUACCGGUGGCGAAGGCGGCCCCCUGGACAGAUACUGACACUCAGAUGCGAAAGCGUGGGGAGCAAACAGGAUUAGAUACCCUGGUAG
rnacentral:rRNA from 1 species